UGACCUCGGAUCAGGUAGGGAUACCCGCUGAACUUAAGCAUAUCAAUAACGGGA
rnacentral:rRNA from 1 species